GCAGUGAGUGGAGAGGAUUAUUGUCCAUGUAUUGUGAACCCAUGUGAUGUAUCGUUUGCCCUAACUUUCCCUACGCAGUAUGCAGAGCGUUCUACGAAUGCGAACCUAUACCUUGCCUGGCCAGGUAUUUUGUGAGGAAUUAUUAUUAUGGCUGGAUUGAGGUGACACACCUGUGCUUUGCCUGAUAACACCUUAGGAAACAGUUUUCAGAUGACGUAACAAACAUAAACUAAUGUUGUUUGUUU